rnacentral:rRNA from 1 species
UGGGGAAUAUUGGACAAUGGGCGAAACCCUGAUGCAGCAACGCCGCGUGAGUGAUGAAGGUUUUCGGAUCGUAAAGCUCUGUCUUCAGGGACGAUAAUGACGGUACCUGAGGAGGAAGCCACGGCUAACUACGUGCCAGCAGCCGCGGUAAUACGUAGGUGGCGAGCGUUGUCCGGAUUUACUGGGCGUAAAGGGAGCGUAGGCGGACUUUUAAGUGAGAUGUGAAAUACUCGGGCUCAACCCGGGGGCUGCAUUUCAAACUGAAAGUCUAGAGUGCAGGAGAGGAGAGUGGAAUUCCUAGUGUAGCGGUGAAAUGCGUAGAGAUUAGGAAGAACACCAGUGGCGAAGGCGGCUCUCUGGACUGUAACUGACGCUGAGGCUCGAAAGCGUGGGGAGCAAACAGGAUUAGAUACCC